UAAAUAGAGCUGAGAUUCUUUUCCCUGGGAUAUCAUGCUUCCUCAUUGCUGUAUUCCUCGGUGCUGCUGUUCAUUCUUCAAAUGCCAAUGAUAAGUAGGAAAAACUACGCAUUUCAGGAGGCAGUUUCAGAACCAACAGGACAAUCUAGAGCUUCGCACAAGCAUCGCUAUGAAGGUAACAGCAUUCUGGUAUAUUAAGAAUUUACAAUGGUACUUAUCAGACAUUAAUAAUCUUGAUGUGAUGGUCACAAUGCUUAUUAGUCGAAAUCCAGGACCAGAGUUCAUUGAACUGGUCAAGAAGAGCCGUUCAAUCAAGGUUAGGCAAACUAUAUAUGAGAACACUGAAUCCUAAAAACAUGCUGCAGUGAUGGCAUGGACUCCAUCGAUCAAUUGCGGUGCAGGUGAUAGGCUACAAGUUGCCAUGAAUUGGAUUGACAUUCUGCACUGGCAUAUGCUUCUCCAUCUUUGCACCGGCAUUCAACCUUGCAACCAAUGACCAAUGGCAAGUCUUAAAAAUGGGUAUGCCUCACCUUGUGGUUUACACCUUUUACUUCUCUGUAUCAGGUUUUGUGCUGGGUUCUGUGUGAAUGUCAGGUUUUUAGUUUUUGUACCGGCCAUUAGUCGGUGUGCCAAAAUCAACUAUUGGUGCAUAUCUUAAUGACUGGAAUGGCAGGCAUUGGGCCUUCUGGCAGGGUUGCUCUGUGGAUUUGCCAAUGGAUUUCAGUUUAUGGGCAGGCAAGCUGCUGGAUUUGCUGUUGUCAUUGCCGAGAAUUCAAAUAAGUCCAUUGUUCAAAUUUGAAGCGCAAGUGUUAUCAGAUCAAAGAAUGGCCAAGUGAAUUGAUAUUUCGGGUUGUAAUUCUUUUCGCAGAUGUUUUUUUUUUGAAAAAUUAUCUCAUAGAUGGUGCAAUGCCUUACUA